rnacentral:lncRNA from 1 species
ACACAUCUCAAAAUCACACAAAUUGACGAAUAAUGUUGCCGGCCAGCUCCUUCCUGCUCCUCGCGCCGGAAUUUGUUUGCACCAUGGUGGCCUUGAAAUACCACGAGACGAUAUCAUGGGUGGCGACGUAUGGUUGGCUUAGUCCGCUGGCGGCGGAGAGCCCUACCUGAACCUGCUCGGGAAGAAAGCCGCUCAAAUCGUACUCAUAGCUGACCUCAACCGUCUUCCAGCCGUUGGUGGCGGUGACGGUGAUCAUCUUCGUGGCUCCGACGUAGUUAAUCCGCGCACUCACCAGCUGCCUGAUUAUGCCAUCGCUGAACUCCGUCGUGUUGCUGGAUUCCCUAGAUCCGAUGUCGAUGCCGAUGUGAGGAUAGCUCGGAUCCCACGGGUUGUUGACAAAGGUGUCAAACUCGACGGCGAAGACCGAUGGGCUAUUUCCGGAGACUCCGAAGAUUCCGAGGUUGCCCCCGCUGCCGCCGUUGGGGAGUGGUGGAGGCCGGCGGGGGCCAGUGAAGAAGGUGAUGCCGUCAGCGGUGAGGUUGGUGGGGCGUGGGUGUGAUUAUGAAGUUUACGGUGGUUCAAGUCGACUUGGCCGCCGGCUUGGGAGAACUGGACCGGGUUCGAGUGCAAGACCCGGCCGACACUGCCUAUCGUCGGGAAGGUGAGGCGGAGGAAGGGGGAGUUCCAUACGAAAUGGGCGUGGCCUUGGUAGGUGAGAUCGGUCGGCAAGUCGCUCCAGAAGUCGUAGGUGAAGGACGUCGAUUGGGACUGCGCAGUGUUGGCGGCAGCGGCGAGGAGGAGGAUGAUGGAGGAGAGGAGAGGAAUUAGGGUUUGGAGGAGCUUAGCCAUGGCUUAAUUGAGUAUAUUUAGAUGUGGUGGAUGAUGGUGGUAUCUCUUGCUCCUAUUUAUAGUGAAUAGUGUAUAGAGUAUAGUGUAUAUAUGCAUGAUAUUAUGAUUUAAUUUCCUAUGAAUUAUUGAACUUUCAUCAAAUUUUUAUUUUAUAUAUAAACUUCAAAUUAAAUGUAGCGUGAUAAUCACUAAAUUUAUUUAAUCUUAUAUUUGCUACCAAUCAGGAUUCUAGCCAAAUUUACUGUUGACAUUACAAAGUCGAGGAUAUCCUAAGAUGGAUUGAAACAUUAAGAUAUUCCAAGGAUCUUAAUAAUUUCUAUCAUUUGCCAUAAUUUUAUUUGAUUCAUAUCUCAUUGAAAGAAUAUGAUUUUUAUCCCCUCGUUCACAAGAUUGUAUGGUGAACUCAGGACAUGAGUUUUAAUAAAUACUUCUUCUGUCCCCAAAAUACUUUCUAUGAGAGAGGGGCACGAGUAUUAAGACAAAUUGUUGAGUAUAUUCGAAGUGGUUAAAAAGUGUUAGUAUUAAAAAUGAUGAAAAUGUGUUAUAAUUAGUAUUUGAAGUGGUGAAAAGGUAAAAAAAAAAUAGAGUAAAUGGAGUAUAUAUUAUUAGUGGGGUAGUGUUCUAAAAUGAAAAAUGAAGUUAUUUGAAGGACAAUCCGAAAAGAAAAGUUAGAAAGCUAUUUGGAGGACGGGGUAAAUUGGAGAUAUGUAGAAAGUGUAGAAGGAUCCACCAAAAUUGAGUGGAGAAAAAGCUCCACCAAAGUUGAUGUGUUAAAAAUGGUUUGAAUAUUUUGUAAAUAUUGAAUGUGAAUGAUGUUUAAAAUAUAAGGGGCGUAGUUUCCAAAUAAAGAAAGUAUACAAUCUUUAUGGACAGACGAAAAUNUUUUAUUUGUAGAUUUAGAGCAGACUCGAUCGCUUAGCCCUUAUUUAUUUACGACACACACAUCACAAAAUCACACAUAUUGACGAAUAAUGUUGCCGGCCAGCUCCUUCCUGCUCCUCGCGCCAGAAUUUGUUUGCACCAUGGUGGCCUUGAAAUUCCACAAGACGAUAUCAUGGGUGGCGACGUAUGGUUGGCUUAGUCCGCUGGCGGCGGAGAGCCCUACCUGAACCUGCUCAGGAAGAAAGCCGCUCAAAUCGUACUCAUAGCUGACCUCAACCGUCUUCCAGCCGUUGGUGGCGGUGACGGUGAUCAUCUGGGUGGCUCCGACGUAGUUAAUCCGCGCACUCACCAGCUGCCUGAUUAUGCCAUCGCUGAACUCCGUCGUGUUGCUGGAUUCCCUAGAUCCGAUGUCGAUGCCGAUGUGAGGAUAGCUCGGAUCCCACGGGUUGUUGACAAAAGUGUCAAACUCGACGGCGAAGACCGAUGGGCUAUUUCCGGAGACUCCGAAGAUUCCGAGGUUGCCCCCGCUGCCGCCGUUGGGGAUGGUGGAGCCGACGGGGGCCAUGAAGAAGGUGAUGCCGUCAGCGGUGAGGUUGGUGGGGCUGGGUGUGAUUAUGAAGUUUACGGUGGUUUCAAAGUCGACUUGGCCGCCGGCUUGGGAGAACUGGACCGGGUUCGAGUGCAAGACCCGGCCGACACUGCCUAUCGUCGGGAAGGUGAGGCGGAGGAAGGGGGAGUUCCAUACGAAAUGGGCGUGGCCUUGGUAGGUGAGAUCGGUCGGCAAGUCACUCCAGAAGUCGUAGGUGAAGGACGUCGAUUGGGACUGCGCAGUGUUGGCGGCAGCGGCGAGGAGGAGGAUGAUGGAGGAGAGGAGAGGAAUUAGGGUUUGGAGGAGCUUAGCCAUGGCUUAAUUGAGUAUAUUUAGAUGUGGUGGAUGAUGGUGGUAUCUCUUGCUCCUAUUUAUAGUGAAU